UACGGAGGGUGCAAGCGUUAUCCGGAUUCACUGGGUUUAAAGGGUGCGUAGGCGGAUAGGUAAGUCCGUGGUGAAAUCCUGCAGCUUAACUGCAGAACUGCCAUGGAUACUAUCUAUCUUGAAUGUCGUGGAGGUUAGCGGAAUAUGUCAUGUAGCGGUGAAAUGCUUAGAGAUGACAUAGAACACCCAUUGCGAAGGCAGCUAACUACGCGAUAAUUGACGCUGAUGUACGAAAGCGUGGGGAUCAAACAGG
rnacentral:rRNA from 1 species